CGGGUGAGUAACACGUGGAUAACCUACCUAUAAGACUGGGAUAACUUCGGGAAACCGGAGCUAAUACCGGAUAAUAUUUUGAACCGCAUGGUUCAAAAGUGAAAGACGGUCUUGCUGUCACUUAUAGAUGGAUCCGCGCUGCAUUAGCUAGUUGGUAAGGUAACGGCUUACCAAGGCAACGAUGCAUAGCCGACCUGAGAGGGUGAUCGGCCACACUGGAACUGAGACACGGCCCAG
rnacentral:rRNA from 1 species